UCCCACACGACCGGCACCUAGUCCCCGCCCCUCCACGCGACCGUCCACCCCGCAUCGUCUCCGGCCACCGCCGCCCGCGGAAACCCUAUACCCCGCCUGCCAUGGCGGAUCCGCCGUCCGUAGCCGCCAUAGCCUCGCCGCAGCCCGACCAGCUCGGCGGCUCCGCCCCCAUCCCGCAAAACUCCAACCCUACCCCCCUCCUGUCCCCCCAAAUCCCCCCCUCCCCCACCGUCUCCGACCUCUCCGUCAUCUCCUCCCCGCAGCUCGAUCCAGCCGCGGCAGCUGCGGGCGGAGGGUCCGCGGACUUCCCGCCUCGUCCGCAGCAGCUGCAGGCGCCUUCGCCCACGCAGGCAGUGCCCGGCGCCGGAGGCUACGGCCAGAUCCAGCGCUCGGGUUCGGCUUCCCGCCUCGCCGCUGCCAGCCAGCUUCCACAAUACUCCGCGGCAACGGCCAGGAUGUACGGAGGGCAGAUGAGCUUCUCAGGUGGCGGAGCGCAGCUGGGGCAGCAGCAGCAGCAGCAGCUGGCGGCCCGCGCUGCAAUGCUUGGUCAGGGGCAGCUCGGGAUGAUGCAAGGGCAGGGCAACGCGGCUUCUGCCGCGCACUACGGGCUCCAGUCGCAGAUGAUGGCACAGCCAAGGCAAAAAGGAAUGGUACAAGGUGCACAAUUUAAUACUGCCAACGCAGCUCAAGCCUUGCAAGGCAUGCAAGGGAUGCAAUCCAUGGGAGUCAUGGGUACUUUGGGGAUGAACCAGAUGAGACCAAAUGGAACUAUUCCAUAUGCUCAACAACGCUUUGCCCAGGCCCAAAUGAGGCCGCAGCAAGCGUCGCAGCAAGCCGCACUAUCUCCGCAGAAGGGAGUUGCUCAAGGCUUGUCGAGAACGGCAUCGAUCACAGGAUUAAACUCACAACUGCCUGGAGUGUCACAAAAUGGGCAGAUGAUGCAAAUGUCAUCUUCGCAACAACAGCAGCAGCAGUGGUUGAAGCACAUGCAAUCAUCUUUGGCCUCACCAUCGCAACACCAAAUUCAGCAGCAGCAAAGGAUGCUAUUGAUGCAACAACUUCAGAAAACAGGGCUGACUCCACACCAGAUUGCACAAGCCCAACAACAGCAUCCACAUCUCAAUGCCCAGCAGUUGUUGCAGCAGCAGCACAUUAUGCAGCAGCUUCAGCAGCAGCAACAGCAACAGCAACAAUCUCCAAGGAUGUCAGCAUCUGGCUCCCAGAAGUCUGCAAACUUGACAGGAUCGCAGCCGGGCACGCCUUUGUCAUGUGGUACUAUGGCUGGUGGAAGUGGAAGUCAAGGAGCAGAAGGAACUAACCAACUUCUUGGGAAGAGAAAAAUACAAGACUUGGUUGCACAGGUGGAUCCCCUCGGCAAACUUGAUCCAGAAGUGGAAGAUUUGGUUUUAGAGAUUGCUGAUGACUUCAUUGAAUCGGUGACUGCAUUUGCGUGUACCCUGGCAAAGCACAGGAAGUCAUCCGUUCUGGAAGCCAAGGAUGUGCUGCUGCACUUACAGAGAAAUUGGCAUCUGACAGUUCCUGGUUUUUCGAAGGAAGACAAGAAUCCACAGAGAAAUUAUAACUGCAACAGGUAAAGGCAGCAGUGGAUUCCCAACAGCCAGAGUGUGACGCUGCUGGAGUUAGAAGCGCAACCAAUAAAUUAGUUGCUAAUAAUUCGAUUGGCAAUCAUCAGACCAGAGGUCCGGUUGCAGAUCCUUCACAAACACCUACAGUGGGCCCUCUGUCAAAAGUUCCUCGUUUCUGAGCUCUGCUGUUCCCCUCGGUGGAAAGUGCAGGUUCUAGGACAUACAACUCACCAAUGGUCUCUAACUCAAUGGAUAACUCGAUGGGUAUAUGAGCAUCUGUGGACAAACGGCGGCUGCUUGUUUACCUAUCCAAUCCGGCUUGUCUCGAAGUCGAAGGAAAAGGCAGUUGCUGGCUGACAGGGCCGUUCGCGUUGCAUCAGUCGUCUGUAACCUUAUUGUCCAUGAAUCUUUGUGGCUUCCCCUGUUCCUUGUACAUAACGUUUUGCAAACGGGGCAGCCUUUUUUUCGUUUUGAAUGCCUUUAUGCAGACAUGGAGCCUUUUAUUCUUGUGCUAUGCUGUUGCCGUGUGGGUAGUGCAAGCAAACUCGUAAUUUAGACAAAUUAAAGAAAAAUGUAUGUA